UACUUAUCAAGAAAGGUGGAGGGACUGGCCCUGUGAAACCUUGGCAACCGGUCUACUUAGGCUUGGUGCUAAUUCCAGCCCUGAUGGGGGAGAUGAGUG
rfam:Bacteroidetes bacterium R-53146 genome assembly, contig: Ga0061079_108